rnacentral:misc_RNA from 1 species
GUGAAUCAUCGAAUUUUUGAACGCAAAUUGCACUCCCUUCUGAGAGUAGGCCUGUUUGAGGUUCAGUAUCAAUAAAAAUCGGAGUGUUUCUUCUUUGUGACGCUCCGGGGUUUGGGUCAUCUUAAUAUCCUUUCGGUUUUAAGAGGCUUAAACUUGACUUUUUUUGCGCAUUUUAGAUGUAUUUGAAUUCUUUUUUUUAUUCGUCUGUCUUACUGCUCACAAUCC